CGGAGUGCAAAACACCUUUCUAUUCCUACUGGGCUGAAAAUCACUGCCAAACCCGCCCUUUAACCAGAAAGGGCCAGUGAUAACUCAGUUUAUAAUGUGAACAAACCAUCUACCUGCAGUGUUCUGAACCUUUUGGAAAGAAUGCAGGAUUGUGAGGAAAGAGGGGGGGAGAAAAUGAACGAAUGAAUGAAUCAAUGAAUCAAUGAAUAGUGGCUUGGUCUUCCAAAUCUGCUUCACAUUCUCAUAUUCCCAAUACCCAUUUCCCGCAAAUACGUCCCGGGUCCAGGAAGAACGUCUUUCAGCAUCUGCCUUUAAUUUGGCCCUUCUACCCUCCUCCUUCCUCCCCCCUCCUUUUCUCUCUCCCCUCCUCCCAGCUCUUAUCCCACAAGGAAUAGGGAGGAACGAAACACACGCGCGCGCGCGCGUACACACACACACACACACACACACACACACACACACACACACACGGCUCCCUGUGAACAAAUGGAGAAGAGAUCAGAGAGGAAAGGAGAAGAGAAUGCGGAGGUGCACCAAACAGGAGGAAAGGGCAGCUCGCACAACGGGGCACAAAGAGAAGCCAAGAUGGCUGUCCCCGAGCUCCAGCAGGCAGGGCUGUUUCUGAUUAGGAAUCUGAUUUUCACCGAAGCUUUCUACAAAAACCAAGACUUAAGACUUCUCCAGUAGUGUGGUAAAUGCCUAGAGCUAAGAUCUGGGAGACCAAGAGAACAGUCUUGAUGGCCAUGAAGUAGCCACGUGGCUAGGAAUAAAUCAUGUAACCUUU